rnacentral:rRNA from 1 species
ACGAACGCUGGCGGCGUGCCUAAUACAUGCAAGUCGAACGAAACUUUCUUACACCGAAUGCUUGCAUUCACCGUAAGAAGUUGAGUGGCGGACGGGUGAGUAACACGUGGGUAACCUGCCUAAAAGAAGGGGAUAACACUUGGAAACAGGUGCUAAUACCGUAUAUCUCUAAGGAUCGCAUGAUCCUUAGAUGAAAGAUGGUUCUGCUAUCGCUUUUAGAUGGACCCGCGGCGUAUUAACUAGUUGGUGGGGUAACGGCCUACCAAGGUGAUGAUACGUAGCCGAACUGAGAGGUUGAUCGGCCACAUUGGGACUGAGACACGGCCCAAACUCCUACGGGAGGCAGCAGUAGGGAAUCUUCCACAAUGGACGCAAGUCUGAUGGAGCAACGCCGCGUGAGUGAAGAAGGUCUUCGGAUCGUAAAACUCUGUUGUUAGAGAAGAACACGAGUGAGAGUAACUGUUCAUUCGAUGACGGUAUCUAACCAGCAAGUCACGGCUAACUACGUGCCAGCAGCCGCGGUAAUACGUAGGUGGCAAGCGUUGUCCGGAUUUAUUGGGCGUAAAGGGAACGCAGGCGGUCUUUUAAGUCUGAUGUGAAAGCCUUCGGCUUAACCGGAGUAGUGCAUUGGAAACUGGAAGACUUGAGUGCAGAAGAGGAGAGUGGAACUCCAUGUGUAGCGGUGAAAUGCGUAGAUAUAUGGAAGAACACCAGUGGCGAAAGCGGCUCUCGGGUCCGUAACUGACGCUGAGGUUCGAAAGCGUGGGUAGCAAACAGGAUUAGAUACCCUGGUAGUCCACACAGUAAACGAUGAAUACUCGCUGUUUGCGAUAUACAGUAAGCGGCCAAGCGAAAGCGUUAAGUAUUCCACCUGGGGAGUACGCCGGCAACGGUGAAACUCAAAGGAAUUGACGGGGGCCCGCACAAGCGGUGGAGCAUGUGGUUUAAUUCGAAGCAACGCGAAGAACCUUACCAGGUCUUGACAUCCUUUGACCACCUAAGAGAUUAGGCUUUCCCUUCGGGGACAAAGUGACAGGUGGUGCAUGGCUGUCGUCAGCUCGUGUCGUGAGAUGUUGGGUUAAGUCCCGCAACGAGCGCAACCCUUGCUAUUAGUUGCUACGCAAGAGCACUCUAAUAGGACUGCCGUUGACAAAACGGAGGAAGGUGGGGACGACGUCAAGUCAUCAUGCCCCUUAUGACCUGGGCUACACACGUGCUACAAUGGACGGUACAACGAGUCGCGAGACCGCGAGGUUUAGCUAAUCUCUUAAAGCCGUUCUCAGUUCGGAUUGUAGGCUGCAACUCGCCUACAUGAAGUCGGAAUCGCUAGUAAUCGCGAAUCAGCAUGUCGCGGUGAAUACGUUCCCGGGCCUUGUACACACCGCCCGUCACACCAUGAGAGCCGGGGGGACCCGAAGUCGAUAGUCUAACCGUAAGGAGGACGUCGCCGAAGGUAAAACUGGUGAUUGGGGUG